UACGUAGGAGACGAGCGUUGUCCGGAGUUACUGGGCGUAAAGGGUGCGCAGGUGGCGGCGCGCGUGGGGGGUGAAAUCGCCCGGCUUAACUGGGCGGGGGCCUUCCAGACGGCGUGGCUUGAGCAGCGGAGGGGGGACUGGAAUACUUGGUGUAGCAGUGAAAUGCGUAGAUAUCAAGUGGAACACCAGUGGCGAAGGCGAGUCCCUGGACGACUCCUGACACUGAGGCACGAAAGCUAGGGGAGCAAACAGG
rnacentral:rRNA from 1 species